rnacentral:rRNA from 1 species
GAUGAACGCUGGCGGCGUGCCUAAUACAUGCAAGUCGAGCGAAUGGAUUAAGAGCUUGCUCUUAUGAAGUUAGCGGCGGACGGGUGAGUAACACGUGGGUAACUUGCCCAUAAGACUGGGAUAACUCCGGGAAACCGGGGCUAAUACCGGAUAACAUUUUGAACCGCAUGGUUCGAAAUUGAAAGGCGGCUUCGGCUGUAACUUAUGGAUGGACCCGCGUCGCAUUAGCUUGUUGGUGAGGUAACGGCUCACCAAGGCAACGAUGCGUAGCCGACCUGAGAGGGUGAUCGGCCACACUGGGACUGAGACACGGCCCAGACUCCUACGGGAGGCAGCAGUAGGGAAUCUUCCGCAAUGGACGAAAGUCUGACGGAGCAACGCCGCGUGAGUGAUGAAGGCUUUCGGGUCGUAAAACUCUGUUGUUAGGGAACAACAAGUGCUAGUUGAAUAAGCUGGCACCUUGACGGUACCUAACCAGAAAGCCACGGCUAACUACGUGCCAGCAGCCGCAGUAA